rnacentral:rRNA from 1 species
UACGAAGGGGGCCAGCGUUGCUCGGAAUCACUGGGCGUAAAGCGCGCGUAGGCGGACCUGCAAGUCGGGGGUGAAAGCCCGAGGCUCAACCUCGGAACUGCCUUCGAUACUGCGGGUCUCGAGUCCGGGAGAGGUGAGUGGAAUUCCUAGUGUAGAGGUGAAAUUCGUAGAUAUUAGGAAGAACACCAGUGGCGAAGGCGGCUCAGCUGGCCCGGUACUGACGCUGAGGUGACGAAAGCGUGGGGAGCAAACAGG